CUAACACAUGCAAGUCGAGGGAGAAACCCUUCGGGGCAGAAACCGGCGCACGGGUGCGUAACGCGUAUGCAACCUACCUUUCACAGGGGGAUAGCCCGAAGAAAUUUGGAUUAAUACCCCAUAAUAUUAUUGGGUGGCAUCAUUUGAUAAUUAAAAUUACGAUGGUGAAAGAUGGGCAUGCGUCCUAUUAGCUAGUUGGAGUGGUAACGGCACCCCAAGGCUACGAUAGGUAGGGGUCCUGAGAGGGAGAUCCCCCACACUGGUACUGAGACAGGGACCAGACUCCUACGGGAGGCAGCAGUGAGGAAUAUUGGUCAAUGGUCGGAAGACUGAACCAGCCAUGCCGCGUGCAGGAAGAAUGCCUUAUGGGUUGUAAACUGCUUUUAUAUGGGAAGAAUAAGGAGUACGUGUACUUUGAUGACGUACCAUAUGAA
rnacentral:rRNA from 1 species